rnacentral:rRNA from 1 species
AGUCUUAACUGGGCGUUAAGUUGCAGGGUAUAGACCCGAAACCCGGUGAUCUAGCCAUGGGCAGGUUGAAGGUUGGGUAACACUAACUGGAGGACCGAACCGACUAAUGUUGAAAAAUUAGCGGAUGACUUGUGGCUGGGGGUGAAAGGCCAAUCAAACCGGGAGAUAGCUGGUUCUCCCCGAAAGCUAUUUAGGUAGCGCCUCGUGAAUUCAUCUCCGGGGGUAGAGCACUGUUUCGGCAAGGGGGUCAUCCCGACUUACCAACCCGAUGCAAACUGCGAAUACCGGAGAAUGUUAUCACGGGAGACACACGGCGGGUGCUAACGUCCGUCGUGAAGAGGGAAACAACCCAGACCGCCAGCUAAGGUCCCAAAGUCAUGGUUAAGUGGGAAACGAUGUGGGAAGGCCCAGACAGCCAGGAUGUUGGCUUAGAAGCAGCCAUCAUUUAAAGAAAGCGUAAUAGCUCACUGGUCGAGUCGGCCUGCGCGGAAGAUGUAACGGGGCUAAACCAUGCACCGAAGCUGCGGCAGCGACGCUUAUGCGUUGUUGGGUAGGGGAGCGUUCUGUAAGCCUGUGAAGGUGUGCUGUGAGGCAUGCUGGAGGUAUCAGAAGUGCGAAUGCUGACAUAAGUAACGAUAAAGCGGGUGAAAAGCCCGCUCGCCGGAAGACCAAGGGUUCCUGUCCAACGUUAAUCGGGGCAGGGUGAGUCGACCCCUAAGGCGAGGCCGAAAGGCGUAGUCGAUGGGAAACAGGUUAAUAUUCCUGUACUUGGUGUUACUGCGAAGGGGGGACGGAGAAGGCUAUGUUGGC